rnacentral:rRNA from 1 species
AAUACUCGUCCGAAUUAAAAACCCAUAUAAAAUGGCGGUCAUAAUUAAUUAGAGGAACUCGCUUUAUAAUCGUCAACACUCGAUAACUUUCACUUAAUAUUCAUAGCUUAUAUACCGCCGUCACAGAUUAUAUUAAAUUAUAUAAAUCAAAUAUUACUAAUUCAUAAAAAUCAGGUCAAGGUGUAGUUAAUAAUUAAGAAAAAGUAAGUUACAAUAAACACUAUUUAAGAAUCAAAUUUCAAAAGAAAAAUUGAAAAAGAAUCUAAUUUCAAAUUUAAAUUAAAAAU